rnacentral:misc_RNA from 1 species
AAGUCGUAACAAGGUUUCCGUAGGUGAACCUGCGGAAGGAUCAUUACAAAUCCCCUUAACGUCCCACAAACCAUUUGUGAGACCUCGUUGAUCUGUUCUCCCCAGUGAGAGAGAGUGAGUAGAGAGAGAGAGUAAAGGAAGAGGAGGGUUCUCCCUUCAUUCAUUCAACGAUCUCACUCACUCCCCCCCCUCUCUUGGGUCUUUUAAUAUGACAUUGUGUUAAAUUUCUCCAUAUGUAUGUCACUUGAACACAAACACAAGGAACAACUUAUAACAAUGGAUCUCUAGGCUCUU